AGUAGUAGUAGUAGAAGUAGUAGUAGUAGUAGUAGUAGUAAUAGUAGUAGUAGUAGAAGUAGUAGUAGUAGAAGUAGUAGUAGUAGUAGUAGUAGUAGUAGUAGUAGUAGUAGUAGUAGUAGUAGUAGUAGAAGUAGUAGUAGUAGUAGAAGUAGUAGUAGUAGUAGUAGUAGUAGUAGUAGUAGUAGUAGUGGUAGUAGAAGUAGUAGAAGUAGUGGUAGUAGUAGUAGUAGAAGUAGUAUAGUAGUAGUAGUAGUAGAAGUAGUGGUAGUAGAAGUAGUAGAAGUAGUAAUAGUAGAAGUAGUAGUAGUAGUAGAAGUAGUAGUAGUAGUAGAAGUAGUGGUAGUAGUAGUAGUAGAAGUAGUGGUAGUAGUAGUAGUAGAAGUAGUGGUAGUAGUAGUAGUAGAAGUAGUAGAAGUAGUGUAGUAGUAGUAGUGGUAGUAGUAGUAGUAGAAGUAGUAGUAAUAGUAGUAGUAGUAGUAGUAGUAGUAGUAGUGUAGUAGUAGUAGUAGUAGUAGUAGUAGAAGUAGUGGUAGUAGUAGUAGUAGUAGUAGUAGUAGAAGUAGUGGUAGUAGUAGUAGUAGAAGUAGUAGUAGAGUAGUAGUAGUAGUAGAAGUGAUGGUAAUAGUAGUAGUAAUAGCAGUAUUUUGAAGAAAAUUUAAAAGAGCAAACAUGGCGGAUUUAUUUAUUUAUUUGAAGAUUACAUAUAAAAGUGGUAUUCUAAUUAGUCAAACAUUCCCCCCGUGCUUUCUCUUUUAUUGUAAAAGUUCAUUAAAUCUAUGGAUGUAUGUAGUUCCGUGCAUUAGUUUGUAUCCCCCCAGUGGUUUUUAAUCAAUAAAGUACUUAUUUUCCAGUUUGUUGACUUAAUGGUAUUUGUAACAAAAUAUACCUUAAAUGUUACAGGAACUGAGUUCAAGUCAGCAGUUAUCUUUAAUAACAAGAUCAAAAGUUUACACCCCCCGCUGACCUGCUCUAGAAUGUAGGCAUCUCUUGGCAUAAAACAAAAAAUUGCAAAUAUUGAUGUUUAACCCCUUCCUCGCUGAUAUGACGAAGAGAAUACAACGUAUAUUAAAAUGUUCAGAGCUGCCGAGAGUAAAAAGAGUACUACCGACGUGUAAACACCAUCGCUCGAGAAAUGGAGGUAAGACAGAGGCAAAGAGUGAAAGCCUCUUUCAAAUUCUUUCAAAUUUCACACAAAAAAAAAAUCGCUCAAAAUAAACAGGAUGUGAACGUCCUUAGACACUCGUUCAUUGUUUACAGUCUUUUACGUCACACGAAAUGUCUCGUCUUCUUUCCGAAGUAAGGGUGUGCAAACUUUUGCACUCUACUGCACUCAAGUACACCACUGACCUGAAAACCACACGUGCAGUGGCCAGUCUUAUGACACAU
ensembl:lncRNA